ACAAACCCCGCAGCAAAAUUCGAAAGUAUUUAGUCGCAGCGCAAAGGUCGAAGGACCACUCAGUGGCGUUCACUUGGACAUUAAUGCUUUCGCAUUCACAAGUCAUUAGAAGUGCUUAAGCGUCCUCC
rnacentral:lncRNA from 1 species